ACACAUGCAGUCGAGGGGUAACAGAUCUUCGGAUGCUGACGACCGGCGAACGGGUGAGUAACACGUAUGCAACUUACCCAUAACUCGGGAAUAGCCCAAAGAGAUUUGGAUUAAUACCCAAUAAUACAGGCGUACCGCAUGGUAUUCUUCGUUAAAGAAUAAUCGGUUAUGGAUAGGCAUGCGUUCUAUUAGGUAGUUGGUGAGGUAACGGCUCACCAAGCCGACGAUGGAUAGGGGAACUGAGAGGUUGUCCCCCCACACUGGUACUGAGACACGGACCAGACUCCUACGGGAGGCAGCAGUGAGGAAUAUUGGUCAAUGGACGAAAGUCUGAACCAGCCAAAUCGCGUGAAGGAAGAAGGUAUUAUGUAUCGUAAACUUCUUUUGUAAGAGAGUAAAGUGCACUACGUGUAGUGUAUUGCAAGUACCUUACGAAUAAGCAUCGGCUAAUUCCGUGCCAGCAGCCGCGGUAAUACGGAAGAUGCAAGUGUUAUCCGGAUUUAUUGGGUUUAAAGGGUGCGUAGGUGGUCUAAUAAGUCAGUGGUGAAAUCUCUUUGCUUAACAAGGAAAUUGCCAUUGAAACUGUUAGACUUGAGAAUGGACGAGGUAGGCGGAAUUCGUAGUGUAGCGGUGAAAUGCAUAGAUAUUACGAAGAACUCCAAUAGUGUAGACUGGUUACCAGACCAUAUCUGACACUAAGGCACGAAAGUGUGGGUAUCAAACAGGAUUAGAUACCCUGGUAGUCCACACAGUAAACGAUGAAUACUAACUGUUUGCGAUAUACAGCAAGUGGUCGAGCGAAAGCGUUAAGUAUUCCACCUGGGAAGUAUGCCGGCAACGGUGAAACUCAAAGGAAUUGACGGGGGCCCGCACAAGCGGAGGAACAUGUGGUUUAAUUCGAUAAUACGCGAGGAACCUUACCCGGGCUCGAACGAUAUUUGAAUACAUCCGAAAAGAUGUAGCUAGCAUAGCA
rnacentral:rRNA from 1 species